GGCCCGGACCGUCGUUAUUCCUAUAGUGGCAGUUCUACUUUGCCUCACCCUCAGCGCUAUGUAGACGUGGAGAAGAACCGGCCUCUGCUUCGGAUUCCUGGUGUGCCCAUGCCUCCACAUCCACCUCCAGAAGGCUACCCGGCACCUUACGCCACCAUGCCCAUACGUUGCGGAAGCGCCAUCACCACCGAGAGACGUAGGCCCACUGAUGAAUGUAGGGCUAUCGUUGUCGGUCGGAACGGAAUGCUUCAUCACGCUACCAUGGAUCGCAAAAGAAUGGCGGGUCUCACUAUACAAGAAACAGCCGAGGUUCACCAUUACGACAUGGCAGCCUGAAGGAGUGGCGACUACGCACAUCCAGCGAAUCAAAAACAGGCAGCUCUUCGUAUCGAUUAAUUUAUUCGGUUCCUCAAUCGAUUGCUCUUGCUUUAGAAAGGGGAAUCAACACAUAAAAAAUGACGUAGAUUUCACCCGCGAGUUUAGGUGUUGUGCUGCUGCUGUCAUCGAUGAUUCUCACCCUUGAAAGUACAAAGAAGAUGUCAACUGCAGGAUUAUGUGUCCAUAAAAAACCCUUUUCUAAUUUUAUGUUACUGUAUUAUUUCCUAUUCAUACUGAGCAGAAAGUACUUCUGGAAAAUGUCUUUCAGUUCCGCAAAUUCUGGUAGUGCGGAGGAAGUUACUAGAAGCGCAUGCGUUAUACUAUAAUUCAUUUUAAUUACUUUCUUCAUAGAACGUGGUCAAUUCUCAGAUCAUCUGUUGAUGAUAUUAAAAGCACUAUAAUAAAUUAUAAUCAAUCAAAAUUUAAAUUUUAUAAAUAUAUAUGGCUGAUUAAAUAUUGCUAUUAAUGAAGAUAUACAAAAUGUACAUAAGAUUUUGACUGCAAUCUAUUUAAGAACAAAUUUGGACAAUUACCAGCAUAAAAACGGAGAAAAGAAUUUAAACAGCAGAGGAGUAAAAUCUUGAUUGAUAAUUAGAAUACUUUAACCCUGGCAUUUGGAUCUGAAUUUAACAUAUAGAAUACUUUUAAGCAUUUCAAAUUUUCAUUUAUAUAUAUUAUAUGCACAUCUCUACCUUAAAAAAUUAUAUUAUAGAAAUACUGGCUGAGUGUGAUUGAAAUAAAUUAGAACAAAUGGAUAAGUCUUAAAAAUAUAAAACUAAUGGAAUAAAAAUGAAAUAUUGUUUACAAUAUUCUAUACUUCGUUAUCGCCAUUUUCAUCCUGCUCAUAAUCAUUCUCGCCAUGUUUCUUGGGAAGGCUGUGAUCUUCACCGAUCUAGUCGUCUCGCCUGUGUCAUACUAAACAUAUCUUUGGAUGAUGUGAAUAACUAUAUUACUGAGGCAACUUCCUGCAAUACAUAACAAAAGGACGUUUUUGUGCCAGUGUCUACAAAGGGCAUUCAUUAACUUUGCCAGUUUGUAGUUUGAAAAGCGCAUAAUUCAAAACUUUCUUGUGAUGGUGGAAGUUGUUACAAUGAUUUGCCUCGCUUGAUGGCUUGGAUGAAGAAAACGUAUGCAACUGUUCUCAUUAAAAAUCAAGCACUAAAAACUUUUACGAAAUCUGAAGGCAUGAUAUAUUCUUGCAUAUACUCUGGGUAAAAGAGAAAAUAACGUUUCGUAUAAAAUCAUGAGAGAAAUGUAUUUCUCAUUUUAUAACUAAAAAUGAUGAAUUUAACACUUGAGUUUAUAUAAGAACAUUUAGCUUAAAUAUAAAGAUGCUAACGAAAACAAUAAAUCAUAUUAACUAAAGCUAGUUUAUUUUGGAAUGUUAUAAUCAUAGUACUAGUUUAUGAGGAAGACUUCUAAGUCGAAAACUAAAUAAUAUUCUAUGUUGCAUAUCAUUCUUGAGUAUAAAUGCGUGUUUUAAAAUUAAAUGCAUUUUUGCCAUGCAUAGUAAAUGAAGGACAACUUUAGCAAAUUGUUUAAAGUUUUGGUUUAAGAAGUUGAACAAAGGCUUUAAAAUUUUGGAAGUAAACGCAUAACAUUAUUUCUGGAAAGAACUUAUAUUAAAUACUUUUCUGUUAUAACUAUUUAACCCGAUACUAAACCCAGAUAUAAUCUGUAAUUCAUUUCUCUUAUAUUUAAGUCUUAUAACGACAAUUUCUGUAAAAUCUGUUUAAUUAAUACUUAUUAAAAUUAAAUGGAUAAAAUUUAAUCUGCUUAAUAUACUAAGGUAGUGUCCAGAAUCCCUUUAUCGAGUAAUAUCUGAAUACUUUUUAAUAAUACCUUCUCUAAAUAAUUAUUAAAAUUUAACUUCGAAUUUUCAUUAUUCGCUUCUUCAUUUCACGAACAUUUUCACUCAUAUAACCAAAUAGUACUCCCAUUGUUGACACUACCGCUUCUAAAUCUGUAAAUUAAAAAAUAUUUGUUUUGCAUCUUUUACUCAGAGUAAUGCAUCUGACAGUUGAUUGCGCUGCAAACUUGGUUGCUGCCAUUGUGUCACUAUAAGUUUCGAAACUGUUGCGAGUAGUUGCUCGGAAGAAGAUCAGAAAAACAUCUGCCGCCAAAUAAUACUAGUCUACCUAAAACUGAAUUAAAACCUUAAAAAAUCAAGCUCAGGAGGUAAUGCAAAAUGUCAGAGACAUUUCAACUUAGGGGCAUCCGUGCUUAGCCCCAAAUUUUUAGGUGCUGAAUACAAAUUAGCGUCCUUAUUCCACGAAUGAAUUUUUGUGAUAAUCGUAGAAAUGCACGUGGAAUACUUUGAUGAAAUUCAAGAAAAUGUCAAGCAACUAUAGAAUUCACGCACAGCUAAAUAAUUUGGAGGAAUAAAAUAGCCUCGGAUGGAUGUCGAGGAAACAUUUACUAGGGAUCAAAUAUCGUUACGCUUCUAUUUAUUUAACUUAGCUUCUAUGUAUCUGGCAUUGCCAGACGCCAUUAAGCUUACUACAGAUAUUAACAUCAUACUUUUAUUUUUGUCUGCUAAAAGCAAGAGAAAGAAAUACUCUCUUGAGUUUCAUUUAUUGCAAGAUAGUUUCAUCACUUAAAAUUUAUGCGUAUCUGCUCACAAGCUUUGUUUUUUAGGCUUUAAACAAUGCGUUAUUUUUCAUGUUCUCGAACAACUAUUUCAAAUAAACUGUUUAUUGCACAAAAAUUACUCACUUUAAAGAACUCUUAGUGUUGUGUGUAUGUUUGUGUGGUACGCCCAUAACACUGCAAUUCAAUUCACAGCUGGCCUGGGAAUUGAAGUAGAAAAGGUAAAAUAAAAAGUGCAAUAAAUAAAGUCCAGGUUACUUUCAGUGCGAUGUAGAGCGUCUCUUGACGGCGAAAAUGUUGCCACAAAAUAUUAGAACACUUUUUGACAAGUAUGCAGUAUGUUUAGAAUUUGCGCAGCAUUUCACAUGUUGCUUUGAAUAGCGAUUUUGAAAAUCGGAUGUGUCAUGGAGAACUUCCGAAUGAGUCAAUGAAUGCUUAAAGUUAUGUUUGCUAUAAAUGUAUGAGUGUGUUAUGUUAUAGUGUAUAUUCAGCCAAUAUACAUAUGUGUUGACUUUGUACAUACUAUAAUAAUCAAUGCUUAAAUAUGCUCAUCAGACUGUAAACAAAUAAAAAUUUCAGUUGUUAUCGGAUGACAUUUUAAAUAUGCAAACGUGAAUGUAUUCGCAACGUUGAGAAACAGGCGGGUCUAUGCAAACCCUGAUUAUCUCGACUGUGAACGGAACAGAAGAAACGAUUUAGUGCCAAAGAUAUAUGAUAUUUUAAUUAUACAAUUCUUACAGUCCUAUAAUCUUGCGCUUCUUAUACGUACGUUUCUUUCUUAUUUCUUUUAGCAUUUAUGGAAAGUUUAACUUUUUUUUUUUUUUUUUUUUUUUUUUUCCUUCAGAAGCAGUUAUUUUCCAGUAUUGCAACAGAAUUUCUUUUAUUCUUAUUAUUAAUUCUAAUGAAUUCUUUUUGAGAUCCUGCAAAUGAUUUAAGCUUAUUUUAAAAUUAUGAUAUUAAAUUACUAUUAAUAAAUGCACAGUUAUAUUUAAAAAAUUUUAGCUUAAUUUCGAUUAAUUAAAUUUUAAAAUUUAGAACAUGCUGUUAUACUUAAUAAAUUCUGCUUAAAUAAUAAAAAAAUUAGGCAUGAUUUCAAUAGGAAAAGAAUUAAUUACACAAUUUUUCAGAAUCUCGAAGUUAUUUAAAAUCCAUUCAUUAGGUAAUUUUAAUUAAUUUUAGUAUAAAAAUAGUUGCCUUCAGCACUAAACAAAUCAAUCACUUUCUAUUUCAAAUAACGGUGAUUAACAUUAAAGGGGAAUUCGAAGGAUAUAAAAGAGUGUGUGAUAGAUUUUCAUCUUCAUUUAUGGACAACAAUUUUGCUACAAUAUUGUAGUUCACAGAUUGAAAAAAAAAAAUAUCUUGAAUAAGAGCUUUUAAAAGUGAAGUCUGCUAUUAGAUCAAGAGAAUUUUUUCUUUAUUUUUGAAGACGAGAAGUUUUAGAAUAUCUUCAUUCUGAUUUGUAAAGCGCAGUGACACACGCACAAAUUUAGUAUGCAAAAUAUAGCAAUACGUGUAUCUAUAUAAAUCUCUGAACUUUUCGCUUUUCUGCAUUUAAAAAUUUUAGGACUGUUUAAUGAAAUACUCUCGCGUUGCAAUACGUUCACAGAAGUUCUUAGCAGAACUUGCCAACCUUUCAGUAUUAAUUUCUAUUCUUGUUUGAAAGUGUGUCUGAUAAGGAAUCAUACGUUUUCUUCCCUUUAAAAAUUUCUUCUUUUUUUUCAAUAUAUAUAUAUGGUCUUUAUAAGUUCAAUCCAUUUUGUUUCUUCACGUUAUAGAAACUAUUUUAUUUGUUAAUUAAAAAAUUUUAUUUUAUUACAUAUGAAUUAUAAUUACAUAUUAUUUAUUACAUAUGUAACUGACUGAUUUCCUUAAAUCGAAAUAAAGUUCUAAAGAAAAGGAAAUGAUAAACAGAAUAUACUUUUUCACUGCAUCCUAAUUGAUCGUUUGUAUUCAUAUUCUUCCAAAGUAUUCCAUUUUCCUCUUCGGAACCUUAGCAUCUUUUUCAAAUCUUUUUUAAAGCAAUAACCUUCCCCCUUUUUUAAUUAUGUGAUUAACUUUUUCGCAAUCUGACUUGCCAUUUUAGGUUUUCAAGUGUGUCUUCUAAGCCAAAAGUUGUUUAAGCAAUUAGGAAUUUUGGUAUCUUAAAUUAAAACUUGUUUACUGAACAUUUAAUCAUGAUCUUAAAUUUAUAAUUAUAAUAUUAAGCAAAGUCUGGAAUUAUUUCUAUGCACUUCGGAUAUAUGAUAACCACGCAGUUUUUAUAGUUUGAAGUAUAACUUUAAAGUUUAAAUGUUUUUGUACUAGCAUGUUCAACAUUCAUAUUUUUUGUAAUGUUUUUGCUAAUAUUUCAUACACCACACUUUUUAAAUACAUACUUUUUCUUUUUUAUAAACAUUAGCAAAACGUUAAAAGUCGACACUUAAACAUUGCAAUUGCAAUUACUAUUUUAAGUAGAGAUUAGCUUCGGCAUCGAUUUCUAGAUCAGAAAUUUAGAAAUCGUUAGAGUGAACAUUUUAUAUAAAAGAUGCGAAUAAAGAAAGUGCAUUGUAUAAUAAAGCUUUUGAAAGGUCCUCGAGUAAAUAUUUUUUUCAUUAUUUCUGUUACGCGUAGCAAGAUUUUAUAAUUAUAUACACGUGUAAUUUAUAUUUUCUUAAACACAAAAAAUAGGAACUUCAAAAAUAGUAAUACAUGACAUAUUCUAAGUUCUUAAAUGUUGACUAAAUUUCAAUGAUGAUGCAUAUUUUGUAGACUUAACUUCGAUGAUGAUACCUAUUUUGUUGCUAUUCGCUCUUUAAAGAGUUAGUUCUUACAGUGUUAGCAUAAUCGUUUAAUGAAAACAAUCAAACGUGCUUACAGGCUAUUUCGAAAUAAGAAAUUAAUUUAUUUUUCUUUUAGCUAAGUUUUUUGGGAACUUAAUAGUUCCAUUUCCUAACAGAGUGUUACAAAGCUUAUCGUAGGUAACAAUGCGUUGUUUCUGUAAUAAUUUCUGAUCUUUAUCUGGAAGGUUGGCAGCUCUGAAAUUAACAUCAUCAUAUAAAAGUGCUGAGGAUUACUUAUGUGGAUUGAAGUUCCUUAUAUGUUCUACUUUCACUCUUGUGACAACCUUCCCAACCAACAAAUUAUUCCUUUAUUCAUUUAUAAUUAAGGAACUUAAUUUCCCACCCAGAGUCGCGUUUCUAAAGAAACGCUAAAAGAUGUUGUUUCUUAGAGCUUUUUCCUUCUUGGAGCUUCUUCAGACAUAAAUUUAAGAUUUUCUACAUUCUAAAGAUGUUAAAUGUUUGUAACAAAUGUGUUUCAGUUAUUUUUCGUUUCUUGCGGAUGCAACUGCGAAUGAACUUCUUUUAAAUUGCGUCAUAUCAUUAUUGUUCGCAUUUAAAAAAUAUUUCCAUAUUAGAAAUGAUAAAAUACAGAACUAGGGAUUAAGGUAAAAGCAACUUUAAAAGCUCAAUUUAAUCGGCUUCUUCAUGUUUUAUUCGGAACCGAACGUUACGAACUUGAUUUAUCAAUUGACAAAGAAGAACUUUUGAAAAUAAUAGACCUGAAAAUGACACCAUGUGUUAAUAAAAUACAAUUUCUGUUAAAAUGGUACCAUGUAUUAAAAAAAAAUUCAAUUUCGGAACAUGGUACCAAUAAAUUAGCAUUAAUUAUCUCUCAAAAUUUAAUAUCACAAAUGCGUAACUCAUUUUAUGAGAAUAAAAUUAAAGACUUAGUGAAGUAAAUCGGAAUGUAAAUAUCUCUGGAAUAUUAAUUUCGAAAUAAAUAAAACCUAAACUAAAAAAAGUGUUUAAGAAAAUUUAUCUUUAUAUACAAUGAAAGAAACUGUUAAACAGAACAGAAAGUAAAAUAAUGCACAACAAAUAAUGUAAUGUCUAAAGGAAUAAUGUAGCAAGUUUGGAGUUUUGAGAAAUUACAAAGAGAAAAUGGUAAAUAAAAUAAAGUUUAAAUAUUUGUCAAAGAUUCAACAUAAUAGGAAAUUGCUAGCAAAGGAGAGAAUUAAUAAUUAAAUUCAAAAUAAGAUUUUAUAUAAGAAAUCAACGUUACAGAUUAGAAUUUUAUAUAAGAAAUCAACGUUACAGCUACAGAUCUGCUAAAGAGGUAGUAGUCAAAGAACUGAUAUUGACUGUAUAGAAAUGAAUAGGAAAUCAAAAAAUCUAAUGCAUAUGUAAAUAACCUUAGAUGUAUAAAAAAGAAUCAAUAGCAAAAGAAAAAAUUAUACCAGUAAACUUUCAAGUAAAGAGGCGAAGACUAAGUAACUAAAACUAAAAACGUAACUGAGAAGGAAAAUACUGAUACCCAGCCAAUUUUGGGAAUCUAUACCAGAGAUUUCAGUUCAAAAUUCUAAAUUUAGAAAAAAAAUGUCCACUUACCCUUUUUUCUUCCAAAGGGACAAAAAUCCGGCACGAGCUUGAAAGGUAGAAAAUCAUCAAAAAAGUACUUGAAACCUAUUUUUUGUAGAAAAUACUUUUAUUUCUCAUAAUUUUUCGGUGUCGAACACGAAAACAAACGUCGAUACAAAAAGAAUUACAGGUGAUCUGAAAAUGUCUCCUUUUUUUAAAUUGAACUACUGUUGCUAACAUUAAUAAAUAGAAAUGUCUAUUCGUCUAUUCUUUUUUUUCGGGGGGGAUUUUUGGCAGCCAAGAUUUAAAUAACUGUAAACUGUAAAUUGAAAUAAUUGUAAUUUAUAAAAAAAACCUUCUCGUGUUUAAUUAGGUAAUUUUUCUGAACUGCUAUAUUUUGUCGAAAACAAAUAUUUUUUACUAUAGAAUUAGACUAGAAACUAGAAAAAAAGCUAGAAUUAGAAAGCUGUCAAAAGCAAGUACUGUUAGCAUUAUAUACCACUUUUGAAUAAUAUGUUCCACUUUUGAAUGUUAUGUUGUUAUAUAUAUAUAUAUAUAUCACUUUGGAAUGAUAAGUUCAAUAGGAAGGAAAGUGGAAACUAGAGUAGAAGUUUGUCGUAGCAAACUGAAAGCUACAUUAGGAUGUUAUAUCAAAAGAGAGUAAAUUUGAAAUAUCUGUAGAAAAUUCAUCGUAAAUAAAAACUUUUGUAAAUUAAAAAAAACUUGACAAACAAUAACAAAAAUUAGUGACUGUAAAAGAUCAAACGGCCGCAUACAAGAGCAUCAAAAUAAAAAUAAACGGAAUAAAAAAAGAACACUCAUGCAAAGUAAUCUUAGAAGCCAUCGAUUGCGGCACAAUCAGUUAUAAAUUCUACAAAAUGAUAUUACUUUAGAAGAUGCUGUUUUGUAUAGAAUGUGUAUGUCCUCUUGAUAAGAUGUAAUAGAUAACACGAAUUAAUGUGUUCAUUGUAAAUUGAACAUUAGUUUGCAUAUAUGCUUAACAAAUAAAAUUAUACGUUUGUAAUUAAAUACAUUUUGAGGUAUUGAUGCAUACCUAAAAUAUAGUUCUAAUAUACGUUUAGAAAGAUUUCAGCAUAAGCAAAAUUUAACGAGUCUUAAGAAUCACGCAAGUUUUAAAUGAGGGCAAAUUUUAAGAGAAAAAGUUUAAAUAAAUGUUUUUACAGUAUGUUUCUAUUCAUACGUAUAUUACAGACCGUUUCUUAAUGUGUUUCCGAAGUUCAAUAAUGAUGAACAGGAAAGGAAAUUCUCUACUAUACCUUCUAGAAAUUGAUUAUCUAUAUUCGCAGUUGCAUUCAAAAUGCUUUGCUUCCUUGGAACUCUUACUCAUAUGCGGUAUGUAUUUUUAAAGAAUUCAAAAUAUAUUAAUUUUUUUCUUAUUAAAUGAUUUGCAGAGUAAUUGAUUAUUUUAUUUCAUAUUUUGAACGCAUUUAAUUUACCCAAUGCAGCUCAUCCACAAGAUAGACUUUUCCCAUUUGUAUUUUAUUUAUAGGGUAGCUUCUGUCUGUUGAAUCUUUCUAGAACACAUUUAGCUUGCAGGACAGAUAAACCAAAGUAAAAUUUGCGUCCAAAUAAACGUGCAGCUAAAUUUCUUAGCUUUUCAGAUGAACUGAAGGAACUGGUCUUGCGCUAGUUUCUUAUUUCAUUCUUUUCUCAUUAGACGCUAUCUCCGUAGACUCAAUAGAAUAAACACAAAUUAUAUUACAUAUUACUGUGCUACAAUAAUUCAUGCGUCAAUUACGGGGAUAUUAAUAUUAUACGCAUUAAAUCAUAUCGUGAGGAAAAUAUUACCGGAAUAUGUAAUAUUAUACGUAAGUAAUGAAGUUGGCAGUUUGUAAUGGCAGUACUUACUUAACUCCUUAUGCUACCUAUUUUUAAUAAUGCAUUCAUACGCGCAUACUAUAACUAAUUCGUCGAAAAUGUUAAUAAGCAGUUGCUAUGCAAGGGAGUGAUUCAAUAUCAAUGGAAAUAAUAAUUUAUAUAAAUCAGUAUUUUAUUUAUUUUCAUCAGAAAUGAUAAAAUGAAGGAAAGAACUGUAUCGAAAACUAAUGCGCAGUUAUCGGAUCUCAGUCUGUUAAAAAAAGGAAACAAGGAGUAUAAUUAUUGAAAUUAUUUUCUAAUGUUGAGCUAGCCAAAAAAGGAAAGAAGGACUAUAAUUAUUGAAAUUAUUUUCUAAUGUUAAGCUAGCAAAAAAAAAAGGGGGGAGUAAAGUAAGAGUAUAAUUAUUGAAAUUAUUUUAUAAUGCCGAGCUAGCAGUGAUUAAUUAUAAAAGAUAGCAUUUAAAAUUCAUAAGUUAAUAUUAACAUGUGCCUACUGUAAACGUUUCGAAACUUUGUGCCUCAUAAAAUACAUUAAAAUUUACAGAUAAUUCUACUGAUAUGUAAAUUCUGUUUGUUCUAUUUCUAAAUCUGAUUCUAUUUGCUAUUUAAAGUUUAAAAAAUAAUUAGAAUCCCAAAGUUCGGUGUUAUAAAUAUUAAAAAAUACAUAGAAUUUAGAAGAUGCUCUUCCAUUACCAUCCCAUACAAAUACAACUGAUAAUUUCUCAUUUGGUUUCAAUGUAACUAAAGCAAUCUUUUUUAAAGAAAAAGCUUUUAAAUUGCAUUUUAAAUUUUCAUUAAAACGUAAAUUAAUAUUAAUUAUUUCAAUAUCAAAGGUAUUACUGCUUUAAAAUUGAUAGCAUGCACGAUAUUAAAGUAUAAUACAUACUACAGGUAUCAUGUAAGUUUCUAAAAUGAAGUACUAAUGAAUUUCUAAAAUGAGAAUAUUUAUUUCCUUUAGAAAAAGAUUACUCGAAGCCUUAGUUUCUUUUUUUUAAGAAAUUCAUUAUUAAAUGGUUAAUAUAUGAAGUGAAAUAGAGAAACAAAAUUAAUCUUCCGAUAUCAAAAUUAAUUUAUAAUUCUCCUAGAUUUUAGAUCAAAAAUAAAUAAAUUCGUUUACUCACGCAGAUAAAAUAAUUAGAAUGAUUGACUUAAAAUUGCUUUUGAAAAGAUAUUCUGUAGCAACUAUUUCAAGAACUUGCAUAGCAGCUCUAAAAUAAAAUAAUUUUUAUAAUCGUUAAAAAAUGUAUGAUAAACAAUAAUUUUCGUAUGCCUGCCUUUUAUACAUAGAUUAUUAACAGUUAUAAUGCAAUACUAAUAGCUGCAAUUUCUUUGAUUAUUCUGAAUUGGCAAUAAAUAUUAUUUUAGAUCCAUUCAAAUUUUCAUUUUGCAGAAAUACUGAAUGCGAAGUAGUUACUAUCUUUGUAAAAAGAAAUGUGCUUAUUACUGCACUACAUAGUUCUCUGAAAAGUUAAUCACUUUAAAUGCCUUAUUAAUUAUAAUAAAUGAAAGGCACUUAUGAAACGAACACGGUUACUUAACUAUCUCGUUUAGCUUAAUAGUGAACAUUCAUAAUUUGGCAAAGGAAUUAUUUAUUCUUUUUUAAAAAAAGUGCUUCUACACUUAAUUGUAUCAGACGAUUAGAAUGCUCUUAGGCAGUUUGUAUGGCGGCGCUGGAGGGCGAUAUCCUUUGGAAAAUUUAGGCUAAAUAUGGAAAAAAUAAUGUAAAACAAGUGACUAGUAUGAUAUGUUUUACCUUUUUAUGUUCAAUAACUUCCCCCAGGAUUGUAUAAAUAAAAUAAAUUGGGAAUAUUUUAUUAUGCUUUGUUUUUAUUUGCAUUGCAUUCAAAAAUCCCACAGCUGUUUUCAAACUUUUUUACUCUUUUUGUUAAUAAGUAUAUAGUUAAGCGUAAUGUGAAAUGUGUUCUUAAUUUUUUUAUUCAAAUUAAUUGUGGGAUAAGCUCUUGGUGCUGUAUAAAAUAAAAACACUGGUGCCUAUAAAUUACAAGUUAUCUUCUAUUCAAAUAUCGAAAGCAGAAUAUUAAAAGGACUAUGCUUUUCAUUUUAAUGAAAAGAAUAAAGCGAAAAAAGCAGUUAUGACAGCGAUCUGCAAAUUAUUAAACUAAAAUAACGUAUUGAGUUUGCAGCAUUCUUGUGAAUUUUACAACUCUAGACAUUAAAAGACAACAUUUGGUCAUUAUGAAACGACUGCUAACUUGUCCUUUUAUGAUUGGCUCUCGAUAUUUUGAAUGCAUAACAUCGUGAAGUGAAAUUACAUCACUAAUGAUAUUGCCUUACAGUGAUCAGUGUCAUAAUCAGCAAUACAAGAAUUUAAGGAAGUUGAAGCAAUAUAAUUUCAUUAAAGUAAAUCAAUCAUAAAUGUGAAAUAUAAUUUUUAUAAUUUAUACUGUUUAUACGUUUUAUAGUUUGUUUUAAAAUAUUAAGAAUUCGCUUAUAUACAUUUUUCAGAACCUUAUAUACAUUUAAGUUUGUUUCCAGUUUAAUUUUUCCUAAAUGUUGAGUGUUUUGUCAUACUUUUAACGGAAAUUAGGUGAAAGUCUUUUUAACUUCUAGAUCCAACAUAAAGUAACAAUUUAUAUGCUUUGUUAAUAUUUAAUAGAAACAGAUCAUUUUCUGUUGAAUAGAUUUUCGAAGAAUUAUAGAGAAAAUACAAUGAGGGUCAUCUUUAGAAUAUUCUGCUUUCGUUAAUUUUAUAGAGUGGUCUUUAAAUAGUUAUUAUUAACAACAUUAGCUACUAAAUUAUAUUUAUUUUAAUUUUUUAAUUUCUUUUAAAAUCGGAUUCUAAUAUAAAACGACCGAGCUGUUUCCAAAAAACGUUGUGCAAUUUAUAAAUAGAUUAGUGUUUUAUAUAAAAUUACUCCAGUAAAUCUGCAUUUAAUUCUGUGAAGUAUUUUUGUUCCUGCGACAUUUGUAAUUGUGGCUAGAUUAAUCAUCUUGCCACUAUAACGUUUUUGAGAAAUUAUUCAAAAUUCAAAUUUAGUAUAUUAUGAUUAACAUUUUCAAGCUUGUUUUUAAACUGGUCAUUUUGCAGUCAACUGUUGGUAAUUUUUUCUUUGAGAACUUUGUAUAUUUUUCUUUGAGAAUUUGAGAAUUAAAUACGUAAAAAUUAUGUUAUUUCUGGAGCAAAAUAUUUUGUAAUACAUUAUAAAAAACUAAUGUUUACGAGAAAAAUUAAUAAAUUCUUUUAUUCACCACGUUAAUACUGCGAUUACGACACUGGUCCAAAAAAUUAUUGAGCCAUAUGUUUGGAAAUUCGUUUCAGUCUAAAGCAAUAUAUUUUAUUUUAUACGCAUUCACUUCAAAAUAUAAGUGAAUAAAAUACUAAUUUAAAGUUUUAAAACUACCAGUUUGUCAUCUAAAGUAAGACAAAAAGGUAUCCUCUAUUACAGCUUCUUUGUGUGAGCGGUCCUUUUUCAUUAACUUCAAUAUAAAUCAGAUGAAUAAAUACAUAAAUGUUUUACGAUGUAAAAAAUAUACUUAUAUAGCAUAAAAAAUGAAGCUGAAAGUAUUAAUAUUUAUAUUUAUCAUAAAAAUCCAAGCAAGAAUUUUUGUCACGUUUCUUAAUUUUAACAAAAAGAUUUAUAAACAUUUUGAACUGUUUCUAAAAUAUGUAAUUAUCAUUAAACCGUAUCAAGGCUUAUCUGAAACAAUUUCUUGUAAGGAUUUAAAUAGUUGAUACUGAAAUAAUUCACAUUAAACAUGAUACCUAAAAAAUCGAAUAAAAUAAAAUCCACCAAAAAUGCAUUUCUAGUCACUUUCUUUUCCUCUUCACUCCAUCCACCUUUUUUUAAAUAUUUUCAAGACUUUUAUUUUGGAUAUAUAUUUCUCAAAGAAAUAAAGUUCUUAAUGGAGAAACUAACUGAAAGUAAAUUCUAUGAAAUAUAUUAUUUGCUAAUUAAAGUUGCGGUAAUACGGUUUGCAAAGUAGGCACAUUUCACUAAAGUACUACAUUUUUAAGAAUAUAGUUCAAAUUUCAAAUAAUUCAAGUCUGUUUUUCAAAACAAUUGAAAAACAUCCUUUAUUAAAUUUUCAGAAAAGGUACUGCAGUUAGUAUUAGUUUAUUCUGCCCCUUCCCCCCAAAAAAAAAACAGUUUAAACGCGACUUACAAUUUUACUUUAGAUAAGUAACUUGUAACUUAAUAUAAAAGUUAACUGUAUUUCACUUUAAACACUUCCCUACAUUAAACAAAUCUUCUUGUCUCUUCUUAUAAGAUUUUACCGAGAAAAUUAUGUAGACUUGCUCCUCUUUCCAUCUAAAACUCCCUUUUUUUCGCGAAAAUUAAGAUAAGAUUUAAUGCAAGAAGGACCGUUCACAGAGCUUCAAAUUACAAUUCAUUAAAAUUCAUAAAUUUUGCAUUCCGUAAUUGUGCUUUACUUACAUUUAAGAACACUAAAUGCCUUGAAGUUUUCUUCUUUCUUCUAAUGAUGCUACGGGAUAUAUGCGUUUUUAAAUCAACGCUAUGCGUUCUGUAUGUAGGUGCUUUCUGAACUGAACCUGUAUUUCCUUGCUCAAAUUUUCCGUCUAUAAGCACAUUCUGUCUUUUGUAAAUGAUAUAAACCAAAAACGGUAUUCAUGGAUACUCGCCCAGUCUUCGGAUUGCAUACUGAAUGUCGAUUUCUAUGACCUUUGUAGAAAAAACUGUUUUCAGGAAACCUUCGAAGUUUUUCUUGUAAAAAAAUAAAAUAAAAUAAAAUUUUGUGUGAAUGAUAGUGUAAAAAAAAAAAAAAAAAAAAAAAAAAAAAAAAAAAAAGAAUGUAUUAUAUUA